rnacentral:ncRNA from 2 species
CAACGUUCUCAGGGCGGGGUGCAAUUCCCCACCGGCGGUAAUGGCCAUAGGCCUAGCCCGCGAGCGCUUGCUUCGGCAAGGUCAGCAGACCCGGUGCGAUUCCGGGGCCGACGGUAUAGUCCGGAUGAGAGAGAGCGGGA